rnacentral:lncRNA from 1 species
AUGGGGUUUCACUCUUGUCACCCAGGCUGGAAUGCAGUGGCGCGAUCUCAGCUCACUGCAACCUCCACUUCCUGGGUUCAAGCAAUUCUCCUUGUACCCCUUGAAUAUAUACUUUUUUUGGUCAACUGUACUUCAAUGAAGCUGAAAUAAAUAAAAUAUAUGCUUGCCGGGUGUUGAGCUCCUCCCUGCAUCCAAAGUAUGUUGAAAUCUUAACCGUGGAACCUGAGAAUGUGAAAUUAUUUGGAAAUAGGGUCACUGCAGAUGUUUCUAGUUAGGGUGAGGUCAUCCUGUAGGAGAGUAGGUCUUUAAUCCAAUAGGACUGUGUCCUUAAAAAAGAAGAGCUGAAACACAGGAAGACGUGCAGGGAGAACCCAUGUGGUGAGAAAGGCAGUGUUUAAAGGAAAGUGUCUACAAGCCAAAGUAUUCCAAGGAUUGCUGGCAACACAAGAAACUAUGGGAAAGGUUUGGAAGGAUUCUCCUCUAGAGGAUUUGGAGGGAGCAUGCCCUAGCUGACAAACUGAUUUUAUACAUUUAGCCUCCAGAAUUGUGAGAGAAUAAAUGUCUUUUGUUUCAGGCUAACCGGUUUGUGGGCCUUUAUUACAGCAGCCCUAGGAAAUUGAUACAAUGUUUUUAAGUGGCUUAUUUGAAUUAAAAAUUAAUAAUGAAUAAUAGCCAUUUAAAAAUAAGGGCUAAAAUAGCAGGUUCAUUCUCAAAUACCAGCCUUUAAAAAAUAAUUAUAAUAAUGCAUACAUCCAUUUAUGCUGCUAUAAUAAAAUGGAUGAAACUGGAUAGUUUGUAAAUAAUAGAAAAUUAUUUCUCACAGUUGUGGAGGCUGGAAAGUCCAAGGUCUGAUGUCUGGUGUGGGCUGCUCCCUGCUUCCAAGAUGGUGCCCUGUUGUUGCAUCCUGCAUAGUGGAUUAAUGAUUUCAGAUUGGGAGAUUAUCUUGAAUCUAUGGUGGGCCUAAUGUAUCCACAAGAGUGUUUUAAGAAGGAAGGAACAGUGAUGAUGAAAUCAGGAGCCAUGGUCACUGCAUAAAUAUGGGCAAAUAAGUGUAUACAUAUUUUAUAUGGCAUUUGCAAAAAUAUAUGUUUAUCUGAGAGGUCUUUAUAUAAGCUCCUCAACUGUGGUGUCAAUGGUAAUAUCCCUCUUAUCAUUACUGGUUGUGUUUAUUUGAAUCUUCUCUCUUUUCUUCUUUAUUAGUCUAGCUAUACUAAAACUUUGUAUCCUUUAACCAAUAUCUCCAUUUCC